GUUGUAAUGAAUACACAUAAGCUGUGACUCUAGUAAAUUUGAAUUGGUAAUAUAUAUUGCUUUCUGAGGCGUUGCGUACAUUGACCUAUUAAUGUCUGAUGGACGUGUCAAGGAAAGCAUAGAAUGAUAUCAAUCCAAAGUCCUUUAGUGAUUUAAGUAAACUGGUUUUUUUUAUCUAGUUUGCUUGAUAGUUGGAUUGCAACAUUUAAUUAUCAAAAUUCCGUCCGUCUUGUGG
rnacentral:misc_RNA from 1 species